rnacentral:rRNA from 1 species
CAGUAGCCGCGGGAAUACGUAGGUGGCAAGCGUUGUCCGGAAUUAUUGGGCGUAAAGCGUGCGCAGGCGGUUCUAUAAGACAGAUGUGAAAUCCCCGGGCUCAACCUGGGAACUGCAUUUGUGACUGUAGAGCUGGAGUGCGGCAGAGGGGGAUGGAAUUCCGCGUGUAGCAGUGAAAUGCGUAGAUAUGCGGAGGAACACCGAUGGCGAAGGCAAUCCCCUGGGCCUGCACUGACGCUCAUGCACGAAAGCGUGGGGAGCAAACAGGAUUAGAUACCCCCGUAGUCCCUGUCUCUUAUAC